rnacentral:rRNA from 1 species
AUUGAACGCUGGCGGAAUGCUUUACACAUGCAAGUCGAGCGGCAGCGCGGGGGCAACCCUGGCGGCGAGCGGCGAACGGGUGAGUAACAUAUCGGAACGUACCCAGUCGUGGGGGAUAACUAUCCGAAAGGAUAGCUAAUACCGCAUACGUCCUGAGGGAGAAAGCGGGGGAUCGCAAGACCUCGCGCGAUUGGAUCGGCCGAUAUCGGAUUAGCUAGUUGGUGGGGUAAAGGCUCACCAAGGCGACGAUCCGUAGCGGGUCUGAGAGGACGACCCGCCACACUGGAACUGAGACACGGUCCAGACUCCUACGGGAGGCAGCAGUGGGGAAUUUUGGACAAUGGGGGCAACCCUGAUCCAGCCAUUCCGCGUGAGUGAAGAAGGCC